rnacentral:rRNA from 1 species
GCUGGCGGCAUGCCUAACACAUGCAAGUCGAACGGUAACGCAAGAAGCUUGCUUCUUGGCGACGAGUGGCGGACGGGUGAGUAAUGCUUAGGAAUCUGCCCAGUAGUGGGGGACAACUCGAGGAAACUCGAGCUAAUACCGCAUACGCCCUAAGGGGGAAAGCGGGGGAUCUUCGGACCUCGCGCUAUUGGAUGAGCCUAAGUCGGAUUAGCUUGUUGGUAGGGUAACGGCCUACCAAGGCGACGAUCCGUAGCUGGUCUGAGAGGACGAUCAGCCACACUGGGACUGAGACACGGCCCAGACUCCUACGGGAGGCAGCAGUGGGGAAUAUUGGACAAUGGGGGCAACCCUGAUCCAGCAAUGCCGCGUGUGUGAAGAAGGCCUGCGGGUUGUAAAGCACUUUCAGUAGAGAAGAAAAGCUUACGGUUAAUACCUGUGAGUCUUGACGUAACCUACAGAAGAAGCACCGGCUAACUCCGUGCCAGCAGCCGCGGUAAUAC